AAACAAUGAUGUACUAUUCCUAUUCCAUUUCUUAAUUAAAAAAUGUGGAAAAAUCCGAACUGAGUUU